GAACGCCAAUUCUGGGCCCAGCAAACAAGCACAGAUUGGUGGGACCAUAUAAUGUUGCAGAAAAUGAAAUUGAGUUGGAUCAAGUUAAACAGCAGCUAAUGAAUGAAACCAGUAAAAUCAGAGCUGAUAAUAAGCUGGACAUAAAUCUGGAAAGGAGCAGAGUGACAGAUAUGUUCACAGAUCAGGAAAAGAAUCUGAUGGAAGCAACUACAGAGUUUCAUAAAAAGUGACUUCUGUUUUCACUUGCUUAGCAAUAGCACUGGGAUUUUAUAGAUUUUGGAAAUAGACCCAGGGGAACUACUGCACUACAGAUAGAGGAAGAAAGGCCACCGACAUCAUAGAACAUCUGUUCGGUCAUACUGUGUUCGCUACUGCGGAUAUUCGUAGCGUCUUUGUUCUUGUAUUGAUAAUGUGUACUAAAAAAUAUUCUCUGUAAUAAUAAAGGUCAAAAUAGUUAGGGGCAAUAAUAGGAACCUUUCCUUAACUUCUAAUUGAUUCUUCAGUGGUCCUUUUUUCAAAAACCUCAUACAGAAGAAACACUGAAUCUGUGUUUAUAUAAAAUCAGAACUUUUUUGUCAUAAGAAUCAAAGAACAUGUCCCAUGAUUGAUUUUGGAAAGGUUCUGUUCUCAUGAACAUUUAUCCCACUCUCACGUCCCCGCCAAAGAAAAGUGUUUUACCAUCUGAUGUGACCAAAUGCAAAGAGUUAUUCUACUCUGAGACUUCAGUGCAUCUUAAACUACUGGAGCUGCAUGUUUAUAUUCCAUCCCGAUUCUCCUCUCCCCUGCCGGGUGAGAUAUGUCCCCACCUUUAUAAAAUUGUUAAAAUAAAGCCUUUUCAAAAGGAUCCUUUUCCCAGCAUAAAGCUGAGUCUUAUGGAUUAAAAAUGACUAAAAUGCUCACCCCUUCUUUGACAGUUUCCUCCACCCAUACAGCCAAAUGAUUUUUUUAACUCCCUUGUCUGAGGGGAAAUGUCACAUUUGGCAUUGUGUGUGUAUAACUCCCUGAGCAAGACAAAGGUUGGCUUUUGACUCCUUUCUGUUGCUGGAGAUACAGAACUCGUCUAUAUGGUCCAUAUCCUUUACCUGAAAGCAGAAUUUGGCUUGAAAUGUGGAAAACUUAAAUUUCUUGCAUGAAACUGCUGAUGCUCCUGCCUCCAGAUCCCUCUUGAAAGCAGGCGAGCACCACAGUCCUUGGGAAAUAAAUUGCUCCCAUUGACUGUUCUAAACCAAAUUUAAAUCUUGAUCUCUUUACCUUCUGCCAAUGGCUGAUAAAUUUCAAAAUUAAGACAUGACAGGAUGGGAUGAUAUUUUUGCAGAGUUUAAGCAACCAAUCGAAUUUUAUUAAAGUCCUUGUCACGAGAUUAUUUUUCACCACAAGUGUAAUUAAGUAACAGUGCCACUGCUUAGUUCCAUUCUUUACAGGUAACUGUGUUCCUAUUGAGUAAAUGUUAACUCUUAGUAGUCUCUGUACAGGGAGAGAGGUUUUGUAUACAGUACUGUAUAGAGGCAUUUUCAGGUGACUCUAGUUUACUGUUUACAAAUUGAAUUUGCUAGUGUCCUGUGAAUUUUAUAUUCUGUGUAUGAAAUUAUGUAUUUAAACACUCCCUUGUAGCAUAAUAAAAUUGUUACAUUGCUGUCCAAGAAA